rnacentral:rRNA from 1 species
CGGCGAGGUGAUAUGAACCCUUGACCCGGCGAUGUCCGAAUGGGGAAACCCAGUGUGUUCCGACACACUAUCGUUAACUGAAUACAUAGGUUAACGAGGCGAACCGGGGGAACUGAAACAUCUAAGUACCCCGAGGAAAAGAAAUCAACCGAGAUUCCCCCAGUAGCGGCGAGCGAACGGGGAGCAGCCCGGAGUCUGAAUCAGCUUGUGUGUUAGUGGAACGGUCUGGAAAGUCCGACGGUACAGGGUGAUAGUCCCGUACACGAAAACACACUUGCUGUGAACUCGAAGAGUAGGGCGGGACACGUGGUAUCCUGUCUGAAUAUGGGGGGACCAUCCUCCAAGGCUAAAUACUCCUGACUGACCGAUAGUGAACCAGUACCGUGAGGGAAAGGCGAAAAGAACCCCGGCGAGGGGAGUGAAAAAGAACCUGAAACCGU